UAGGGAAUUUUCGGCAAUGGGGGAAACCCUGACCGAGCAACGCCGCGUGAAGGAUGAAGGUUUUCGGAUCGUAAACUUCUGUUGUAGAAGAAAAAUGACUAUUGUAGGAAAUGACAAUAGAGUGAUGGUAUUCUACUAGAAAGCCACGGCUAACUACGUGCCAGCAGCCGCGGUAAUACGUAGGUGGCGAGCGUUAUCCGGAAUUAUUGGGCGUAAAGAGUGAGCAGGCGGUCGACUAAGUCUGAAUUUAAAAGCAUUCGCUUAACGAAUGUUCGGUUCGGAUACUGGUUGACUAGAGUGCAGGAGAGGUAAGCGGAAUUCCAUGUGUAGCGGUGAAAUGCGUAGAUAUAUGGAGGAACACCAGUGGCGAAGGCGGCUUACUGGCCUGAAACUGACGCUCAGUCACGAAAGCGUGGGGAGCAAAUAGG
rnacentral:rRNA from 2 species